rnacentral:sRNA from 1 species
UCCUAUCCCCCACACAGGUUUUAGGUAGUAUUCCUAUUUCCAGAUAACACUGUGAGAUUCUGAGGACUGCCCCCAGCCUCUGUAUCUCCCUGCCUAGGCGGCUGACACGAGGCUUCCCUCUGGCCCUGUGGACUUGUUGGCCUGUAUAGGAGUCGGCCCAUUGGCCUUGUAUCCAUUUUUUGGUUCAGCACUGUUUAGUUCAUAUUGUAUACUUUCUUGGCUUAUGGUGGAUCUGGGGACUCAGAAAAGAGAGAGGGACUUAACCAAGGAGCAGCUGUUUGACAAUAUGGAGGUACAAGCUGUGAUUGGGAAGUCACUGGAGCCUGGAUUGUGUGUCUCCCAGGUCUGGGGAACUCUCCUGAGAGGCCUUCCCUGCAGCUGCUGAAGUAGCUCUCACCCGAAGGCUGGGGCUCACUACACCCCUGUUUUUUUCUUGAUUGUUUUAAUUUCAAAGCCCUCUUUAAUCUUCUUUAUCUUCUGAUGGGUUCAUCAUCUGAAUGCCUGUGGUGUCAGUCACCCAUCUAGCUCUCAGGGAUAUAGAUGGAAAGAGAACACAAUUCAAACUGUCAUGGAGCCUAUGGUCUAGGUGAUGGUGUUGGGAGAGGCAGACAGCCAGAGUGACUAAGUGACCAGAGCCCAUAUAUUGUGGAGGGAAAGAAAGCAGGGGGAUAGAAGGUGGAGGUGACAGAUGGGGGCAUUACUAGCUGGCAGGAGAGCUGUGGGGCUGUGCAGGUCUCUGGGGGUAGGAGGGUUUAAGGAAGGAGACACAUCGCAGACAAGGGCCCUGAGGUCAGAUGUGCCUGGCACAAGAGAGGAUGCUCAUGAGGUUGGGGAAGAAGAGGUCAGAGGGGCUGGGAGAGAGACAGUGGAGGACUCUGGAGGUCAUGUGAAGAUGGUGGCUGGUAGGACCAAGCCACAGAGAGGCAAUGGAUGAAUUUGAACAAGAGAGUGUGAGGUCUGUCCAUUGGGGCCGUGGGGUGAAACCAGUUAUGAGACCACAGUCAGGGGAGAGAAGGUGGCUGGGCUAGUGCGAUGGCAAUGAGCUGACCAGAAGUGGCCAACUUGGGACACAGGUGGGAUAUCUCAGACUUUAUCUGAAGAUUGGUUGUAGAGGUGGCUUCCAGAGUUUGACCUGGGUGGAUAAGUGCAGGAGGAGGGCUGGGGACUCCAUUGGGCCGAGCUAAGGCAGGAACCUAGGCCAGCACUGAUCUGGGUCUGAUCUGGGGGGUCAAGUGCUAUUACUCAUUGCAUUUAGCUUGGCUUUGAUGGUGCCCCAGAGAACAGAGAAUGGGGAAGGCCAAGUACUGAGUCAAAGAAAGCUGAGGGAGCAGGAGGAAGUCCUGGAAGGAAGACGUGGAACCCAUGGACUGAGGACUGUGUCAAACACUACGGAGAAUAAAGUAGUGUAUACAUUGGUAUGGGCUUGGCAUUGUCACAAGGCCCAGGCUCCGGAUGGCCUCCAGUACCCUUGUGUGACUCGGGUGGGUCCGACAUGCAGCCAGGCCUACUUCAUCUACUUCUAGGCUACAACAAAUGCUGCCUUUCCCUGGCAUAUGUGGCCUUGUGCCAGGCUCAUACCAUGGCGAGAGGAGAGGUGAUCCCAGCUCCUUCCUGCAAGCUCGAAUGUCCUCGUGCAACAACACGCUCUGCACACCUUUGCUCUACCUGUGCUCGGCAGUUGUGCCGGUGAUGAAAGGGAUUGUGGGUUGUGUGAGGGCAGAAGGGGUGAGAGCUGGGGUACACUCUGUUAAUGUGGAUGCCAUCUUGACAGGGGCUAGACUCACCUAGGAGACAAAUCUCUGGUAUGUGGGAAAGGGAGUUUCUAGAUUGGGUUAACCAAGGCGGGAAGACACACCUUAAAUGUGGAUAACCCCAUCUCAUGAGCUGGGGUCCUGAAGUAAAGAGGGAAAAGGACAAAGAGAACAAAGUAUCCCUUUCAUCUUUCCCUUUUCUGACUGCAGCAGGGUAACCAGCAGCCUCAAGCUCCUGCCAGCAUGCCUUCUCCCAAGGCUGUGAGCCUGGCUCAUGACCCUUCCUUUCCGAAGUUGCUCAUGUCAGGGCUGGAGAGGGCUGGGCUACAGGAAGGUGCUCACAGUAGCACUUACAGAACACCCUGGGAUUGCCUGGAGGAUCCCCUGGAACACAGCCUUCCCUACCCAGGUCUCAUUCUUCCUCUUAAAAGGGAGGAGUGGUUGUAGCAGGGCCUCACCUGUCUCCUGAGACCUCCUUCCCCCAGGUCAGUCAUGGAGUCAGCUCCUCUCUGCUCCUCAAGAAGGUCUGAAAUUCCUGCACGCAGAGGACAGUGUCUGUGGGCAGGUGCUUGGUGAAAGACUGUCCCAACUGCCCAACUGUCUCCUGGAACCUGUGGCAAGUGAGGUCUACUCUUGAAGCAUCAGUGUUUUUUAUCUGUAAAUUGAACUGUAAAUUGUAAGGUCAUUUUUCCUCAAAUAAGACACAAAGAAAGCAUUGGAGGUGACUGUGGCAGUCUGUAGUAGAAGUGUCAUGGUGGUUGAUGAGGGGAGACCAAUCAGAUCUUCAGAGGACACCUAAGUGAGUCAGGCAUCUCUCAAAUCCUCUCUUUGUCCUGUAAGAACCCAAGUGUGUGUGUGUGUGUGU